UAAGAUUUUAAAUGGGUGCUAAGAGAAUGGAUGAAUAUUUAUGUAUUUUUUAAUAAAAAAGAUUGGAAUUUAAUUUAAGAAUGAAAAAGUUUUUAUGAUUAGUUGGGACAAGAAGACCCUAUGAAUCUUAAUUAAUUAUUUUAUAUCAUAUAAAAUUUUAAUUUAAUUGGGGCGAUUAAAAAAGAAUAAUUAUCUUUAUUUUGAAUUUAAAUUUUAAAUAGGUGAAAAGAUACUCUAGGGUUAACAGCGUUAUUAUUUUGGAAAGUUCAUAUUGAUAAAAUAGUUUGCGACCUCGAUGUUGAAUUAAUGAACCUUCUUAGGGUAGUUUUUAAGAAAGGUAGAUUGUUCCUCUAUUAAAUCAUUACUUGAUCUGAG
rnacentral:rRNA from 1 species